rnacentral:rRNA from 1 species
ACGCUCGACACCUACGGGGAGGCAGCAGUAGGGAAUCUUCCACAAUGGACGCAAGUCUGAUGGAGCAACGCCGCGUGAGUGAAGAAGGUUUUCGGAUCGUAAAGCUCUGUUGUUGGUGAAGAAGGAUAGAGGUAGUAACUGGCCUUUAUUUGACGGUAAUCAACCAGAAAGUCACGGCUAACUACGUGCCACAGCCGCGGUAAUCUGAGCGGGCUGGCAAGGC